GCUUCCCAGGCCUGGCCCCCUCCCUCCGACCUCCAGCCGGCGGCGGUUGUUGUUCAGCGGCUGGGCCCGCUGCUCGGGUCGCACCCUGCGGCAGCCCGUCAGUCCAGCAGCUGGUCCGUGCGCGCGGCCAUGGAGCUGGAGUUGCCGGACGAGGCGGAGAGCGCCGAGGCGGGGGCCGUGACCUCGGAGGCGGCCUGGGUCGCGGAGAGCGGCGCGGCGGCAGGUUUGGCCCAGAAAAAGAUGGCCCCGAUGGAGGCCCCGGUAACGACUGGACAGCCAGGCCCUGGCCACGGGAGGAAGCUGGGCCAUAGGGGUGUGGACGCAUCCGGUGAAACCACUUACAAAAAGACCACGUCUUCCACUCUGAAGGGGGCCAUCCAGUUGGGCAUAGGCUACACCGUGGGCAACCUGAGCUCUAAGCCGGAGCGCGAUGUGCUCAUGCAGGACUUCUAUGUCGUGGAGAGCAUCUUCUUCCCCAGUGAAGGCAGCAACCUUACCCCCGCCCACCACUUCCAAGACUUCAGGUUCAAGACCUAUGCGCCUGUUGCCUUCCGCUACUUCCGGGAACUUUUUGGGAUCCGGCCAGAUGAUUACUUGUACUCGCUGUGCAACGAGCCGCUGAUCGAGCUGUCCAACCCGGGCGCCAGUGGCUCCCUCUUCUACGUCACCAGCGACGACGAGUUCAUCAUCAAGACGGUGAUGCACAAGGAGGCCGAGUUUCUGCAGAAGCUGCUGCCUGGCUACUACAUGAACCUCAACCAGAACCCUCGGACGCUGCUGCCCAAGUUCUAUGGGCUGUACUGCGUGCAGUCAGGGGGCAAGAACAUCCGCGUGGUGGUCAUGAACAACAUUCUGCCGCGCGUGGUCAAGAUGCACCUCAAGUUCGACCUCAAAGGCUCCACAUACAAGCGGCGGGCCAGCAAGAAGGAGAGGGAGAAGAGCAUCCCCACCUACAAGGAUCUGGACUUCAUCCAAGACAUGCCCGAGGGUCUCCUGCUCGAUGCUGAUACCUUCUCUGCACUUGUCAAGACGCUGCAGCGGGACUGCCUGGUGCUGGAGAGCUUCAAGAUCAUGGACUACAGCCUACUCCUGGGCGUGCACAACAUCGACCAGCAGGAGCGCGAGCGGCAGGCCGAGGGCGCCCAGAGCACGGCAGAUGAGAAGCGGCCGCUGGGCCAGAAGGCACUCUACUCCACAGCCAUGGAAUCCAUCCAGGGCGGGGCUGCGCGCGGGGAGGCCAUUGAGACGGAUGACACGAUGGGUGGGAUCCCUGCGGUGAACGGCCGAGGGGAGCGUCUGCUGCUGCAUAUUGGGAUCAUUGACAUCCUGCAGUCCUACAGGUUCAUCAAGAAGCUGGAACACACCUGGAAGGCUCUUGUCCACGAUGGGGACACCGUCUCCGUCCAUCGACCCAGCUUCUACGCUGAGCGCUUCUUUAAGUUCAUGAGCAACACGGUCUUUCGGAAGAACUCCUCCCUGAAGUCAUCACCGUCCAAGAAGGGCCGCGGUGCCUUGCUGGCCGUUAAGCCCCUGGGGCCCACAGCUGCCUUCUCAGCCAGCCAGAUCCCCAGUGAGCGGGAGGACACGCAGUAUGACCUGCGGGGGGCCCGUAGCUACCCCACGCUGGAGGAUGAAGGCCGGCCCGACCUCCUGCCCUGCACACCACCUUCUUUUGAGGAGGCCACCACUGCCUCCAUCGCCACAACCCUGUCCUCCACAUCCCUCUCCAUCCCAGAGCGGUCCCCUUCUGAAACAUCAGAGCAGCCACGUUACAGGCGGCGCACACAAUCCUCCGGACAGGAUGGCCGGCCACAGGAUGAGGUGCAUGUGGAAGAAGACCUGCAGCAGAUUACGGUGCAGGUGGAGCCCACGUGCAGCGUGGAGAUCGUGGUCCCCAAGGAGGAGGAAGAGGGGGUGGAGACUUCCCCGGCCUGCACCUCUGCCGCUGUUGUAGAAGUGGAAACUACCAGCCAGGCCUCAGAGCCCGCCAGCCAGGCUUCAGACGAGGAGGACGCGCCUGCCACUGACAUCUACUUUUUCAUGGAUGGGAGGUACUGGAUUUACUCUCCCCGGCAUCGCCGACUGCGGGCCAUGACGCUGAGCUCCUCAGGGACUGUAAGUGACCACAGCAGGCCUUCAGGGAGCCCUGCUGCCUGGAAUAGCCGGGAGCCUCGGGACCUGGCCAUCCCAUUUCCUCUGAGAAGGGACCUGGGGAAAAUAAUCACAGCAGCCAAGGGCAGUUGUGUGGGUCGCUGUGCUGUGUGCAUCCUGCAGUGAUGUUGCUUAAUCCCAUGGGAAGUGGGCAUCAGCGACUGGCAGGUGCACUGCCAGGGCUUAGGGGUCUGCAUCUGAUCCCCAGCCGCAGGCCAUCUCUGCCCCUCAUCCCAGCCCUCCCAAGCCAGGGACCUGUGGGGCAGACACUUCUCACUUGUUUGGACCUUGCUGCUGACAGCUCCCCAAGGAGCAUGUGCCCCUGUGACGGGGACUAUCACACAGGUCAGUGAGGGAUUGCAAAGCUGGACUCUUAGCUGCAGGAGAGAGGAGCUGGUAUCGCUAUACCCAUUUCACAGAUGGAGAAACAGAGGCCUCGGUUCCCCAGGGAGCCAAUGAGAGCGCACGGUUUAGACAAAAUCUGGGUCCAGACCCCCAAGCAGCCCCCUGUGUGUAGUAGACACUUGUCUACCCAGCGUGUUUGGGAAGCUAUGUGGCUGUCAUGCAGAGAUGGCCUUAUCAGUCUUGUUAUUGUCAUCAUGAGCAGUAAAUGAGGGGCCCAGAGCUGCACAGCAUGAACAGGCAGAACAGGGUGAAGAACUGAAGCAAAAAUUUCUGUUCUCGAGAGGCAGGCCCUCAGAGGCUCACACCCCGGCCCCAAAGCAAACUCCUCUGCAAGUCAUUGGGUGUUGGGUACUGCCGAGCCACCCUGAGGAGUGGAGACCACUUCCCCAGCCCCUCUUGUCACACUCUGUCCUCCUGAAAUGGGGAUGCCCCCUUCCAGGGGUGCUCCAUGAUUCAAUGGCUUGGGACAUAUAGCAGCCCCCAUGGGCUUCCUGGGGGAGCAUUAAGCAAAGGUGCCUGGAGAGGGUUGACCUGGAUUUUGAAACAGACACAUGGGGUGUGGAGAGGAAGGGGAAAGGGUGUCUUGGGAGGUGAUGCAGCGUGGGGGCUGAAAGGGGGGAGACUGGGGGAGGACAGUUGGAUGAGCAGUGGGAGGAACCCUCGGGCAAGCAGGGAGGACAUGCCCUUGGCCUGAUUUUAGUGAGGUCACCACCAGUUUCUGGAUCCCUCCCUCCUCCAGGCUCAGCUCUCUACAGGGUUCCAGUGGGGACCUUCUUGUCCCACGUUCUGAGCCCCAGCAGGGCAGCUACCCCAGCAGCCACCUUGUGCUGGGCACUGGGCACAAGCGGCCCCCAGAUAGCCUGGCCCUGGCCUCCGGCCUCCCAGGUGGGCGGCGGAGGCAGAUCAAGCCGCCACCAGUGGUCAGGGGUUUUUAUUGUGCCAUGACUGUCUGAAGGAACAUGCAGAGCCUGUGCUGGGGUCCACAGAUGGACACAGGCCUCCCAGGGCACAUGUCCCUGGGCCAGGCACCGCGACCUGAGUGAGCGACCUGUGGUGCCCAGCAGCCUGGAUGGGCCACGCGAGCAUGGGAGUCUGGUCUGUGAGGGCAGGUGUAGAGGCAAAAACUACAGAAAGAGUGCGGUAGCAGCACAGAAGUGGGGAGAGGCAGCAGGUGGGCUAGGAAGGGUGGGUCUGGCAGCUUGUCGAUUGUGGCUGUGGUGGGUUUAGGGGCCAUGGGAUACCCAGGUGGACAUGAUCAGGGCAGGUGCUCCCAGCAGAGGCCAAGCAGGGCUUGAGGUCCUUAGGCCUUGUGAUAUUAAAGGCCACAGGUGGGCUCCUGGGAGACGUGAGGAAGAAAAAGGAGAAGGUGGACUGGGGGAGCCCUGAGGAGGCCUCCAGGGCCUAGGGAGGUUCUCUAGGUGGGAGCAGACCUGGAGAGGACGCGCGCCCACCCCCUAUCUGACACAGAAUGGGGAACCCAACCUAGACACGGCUGAAAGAAGACCAGCCCCCGCCACCACCACCACCGCUCUGUGGUCCAGCAGCCCCUGGAGCCCACAUGGCAGGCAGGAUCUGAGGUUGAGGUGCUGCUGGGCUAGGACGGAAGUUCGGGUGCCACGGGGAGAGGACAGCAGAGCACACCAAGCCCCCGCCACCCUUCCUCUUCCUGACUGCACUCACUGCUUCCUGCGGCCCAUCAUGCCUGCUCCAGCCACUCAGCCCCAGAGGCCUGGCCCCCAACCCUGCCAGCCCAAGGGCCAUUCAGGUUGGGGGCAGGUCCCCCGGGAGAGGGCAGCCAGGGGCUGAGCUACCCAUUCGUCCUGCAGUGAAGGUCCGCCUCUUUUAUUUCUGUGUCUUCCUUCCUCCCGCUCACCUUUCGUGCCUCCUCGCACCCUGCUCUUCUGUGCCCUUCCUGCACGUGCCGCCCCGCCCGCCUUCCAGCCCACUGAUGAGAGGAGCUGGGUGUACUCCCCACUCCACUAUAGCACACAGGCCCACCCAGCCUCCGACGGCGAAAGUGACACAUAAUCUCUAUGUAGUCACCAACCUAGAGCAGAGCGCCCACUGCCACCCUGGUUGCUUCCUGGAGGCGCUGCCCGCCCAGUUCGGUCCAGGGCGCGGGACAUGCUGCCUGGCCACCGCUGGACCUUGCUCGCCCACGUCCUCUCCUCUGCGACGGUCGCCAGUGCUCCAAGCUGUAGAGCGAUGGCCCCAGGCUCCGUCAACUACCUAUGCCUUUGAUACUGUGAACCUUCCUGAGUUUCCAAUCACAUAUUUAUUUUGGGUCCUUACUCUGCACAGAGAUGGCAGCACACAUGUGCUUUUUUUAGAAAAAAAAAAAAACCACAGUGGAAAAAGAAACUCCAUUCCAUGCACUUCUUUGUUCUUUACUGUGCUUGCAUGUGUCUUGCUGAGGGAACAAGGCCCGUUUGCGCCCCAGUGGCCUGGUCACCCUGACUGAAAAUCCAUGCUCCGAGUCUCAGCUGGCACCGCCCUGCUCUGCCUCUGUCCGUCUUGGAUGGAGCUCCUAGGAGGGAAGGUCCAUCGGGCCCCUGCUUGUCCCCAGGGCGCCCCUGAAGACCUCCCGCCUGCACCCAGCAGCCACUCUCAGCUCAGGUUUGCAGGCCGUGUGCUGGACAUCCAUCCUUGGGGGAGGCUGACCAGUGGCCUGGAGGUGGCUCUCCACCCUGCUGACCCUUCCAUCUCUCAGCAUCUGUUUCUCCAUCACCACAUCCACCCCAGGUGACCUGGGAGCAGGAAUCACUGGGCAGCGACUAAAAUUUGGACACAUGGCCGCCCCGUGUCAGUGGAGCUCAGGGCUGAGGCUGUCUACCUCCUUCACAUGGACGGCUCAGUGUUGGGAGGACAGGCCCCAAGUGAUGGGAGACACCCUUUCAAAGCAGGAUUUCCCCUGAAUGUCCAACUCUUGAGAGGAUGCAGUCAGGCCCUCCGUCACAGGACUUCUGGAGAGCUUAUGUCCUAGAGCAGGGGCCCUCCCCAUGGGUAGGCUACAUGGCCUAGAGGGACAGACCCUCUUCAGCAAAAGUUCCCUCCCAGACUGAAGUGGGCAGUCUCUUUCUCGUUUUUAAAUGAUAGUGACACAUGUGAUGAUUAAAAGAUACAGGAAGAAAUUGUUCAUGAAAAACAAUUUUUUUUUGGUUUGUCAUCUUCAGCAGGGGCAGCUACUCCUGGGCCCAGAGUCCCAUGUGGGGGCCGCCAGGGUACCCUGCUGUGUCCAGAGGGGGCUGCUGGAGCCAACAAUUUUGCAGGGUCUCUCCUGCCUCUGCAGACUCGCACCUCCUGAGAGGUGGCAUGUCAGUGAUGGCUGCCUCCUGCCCGCUCUGCAGAGCCCCCACUUCAGCCCCACAUGGGAGGAGCUGGGAGCCAGCUCAGAGUGGAAGUCACACCUGGAAGAAUUUGUGCCCAGCCUUUGCCUCCCUGGUAGAGCUGAGACAGCUAGAGAACCCACCAAUCCAGGAAUCUGAUUUUUUUAGUCUAUUGCAUGCUGCAUACACUACUGCUCUCGUCCCCCCUCGCACAGCCUGCUGGAGGGAAUCUGUUGGCCCGGCUGCCAUCAGCUCCUCCCUGGAGAACCAGACUGUGCCCUGGGGGCUCUCCCCUCGUUGUUGCCCCUGGGGCAGCACCCAGCUCUGAACAGGGUCACCAGGGACAAUGUGCAGCCUCGGGAAGGGGACCCUCAGAGGACCUGUCAGAACAAGAUGGUGGGUAGCCUAGACUAGAAGCAAAACAGCAUCCUCUCCCGCCUAGCCAUGGAGCAUUUGUCCAGAUCCUGGGAGCACCCUCACCUGGAUUUCAGACCAGUGCAGAUAAUGCGGGCCACAAGUCACCAGUCUGUCCCUGACUCGUCCCACCAAGGGGACAGGCAGGCUGAGCAGGCAGAGCUCUGAAGGUACAUCUUGGACCUCGAGGAUGAAUGGGAACAGCUGUGUCACCCAAACGCCAAUGUGGGAGUCCCCACCCAGGCUCCCAGAGGCCAGGCACCAGAGACAUCGUGAGUUCAGGUGGGGAUGACCAGAGCCGCAGGCACAGUCCUUUAGCAGUGGGUGCUGCAUCCAAGGCACCCUCGGCCUCCUGGAGCUAUACGAGUGAGGAGGGGAGCCACCUGCGUGUCCCAUCAGGUCUGUGUUCCCAGUUGGGCCCCUCAGGUUCUCCUGAGUGGAUCACAGAACAAAUGCAUGGUCAGAUGCUGACUUGUAGGAGAAAUUUGCAAAUCUGGAUAUCAUGACAUUUCUAUUUUCAUGUUAAGUCAUGAAGAUCCCUUUGGAGACCCAUUUUGUGUUUCAUUCUUUGUCUUUCAGAGAAUGGUCACCUCAAUGCUAAAGUAGUCCCAGGACUGUGCAGAUGUGAGGCAUUUGUUUAUUCUUUUUAGGGGUAAGGGUGGGGGGAGGCAAGACCUUAUUUAUAAUAUGUAGUGAACUCAUAGCCUUCCCCAGACCUCCUGCCAGGAAGGCCCUGGACCCACCCAGCUGUUACCCUGCCUCCUCCAGGAUGGAAAUCUGUAAAUUGCCCAGUUUCCCUCCUGGGUCAUCCCCCUCCCUCCAUGGCUGCUGUCUCUGAGAAUGUGGGCAUCGUCUGACUUGCUGGUACUGUAAAAACAAAAGGCAUUUCAUGAGACUGACAAGGUGGAACUUUCCACAAGUCCCUUGCCAGCCUCCUCUCACCAUCCCCUUCUACCACCUGGCUCAGUGCAAUACUCCCAUCCCCAGUGGGGUCCCUUGCCAUGGUACUCUUCCUUGCAGCCCCUCGAUCCCACCCCAACCUUGUUUUUAUGGCUAAACUGAUUUUGAAACACAAUGAAACUGCAAACCUUGUGGGUCUUAAUUUUCACCGGGGGUCCUGUGUGCUCAGCCCCUGAGAUCUGGUGUGCAACAAUCCAGAGUGUGGCCUCCUGUGGGCACCUCUAACUGUCCAGCCACAGCUGGCCCCAUAACACCUGUAUGCAGCCCUGGGUCCCAUCCCCGCCCCUUUUUACAUUGAAGAAAUCUAAUAAAUUGGGUAAGAAGCUC